CAUUAUUAUUGAAACGGAUUGAAAGAAGUGACCCAAACAUAGAGCCAAAGGCCAAAAAGGCCCGUAUGUGCCAGGUGAACAAAUAUAUGAGAGAGAAAAUCAAUUCUCUGCGCGCAGCAAAUAAGAAAGCUGCAAAACAACAACCUUAAUUCAUUUUCAAUACUUGUUUUCUUAUUUACGUUCAAACCUUUAUUUCAAAUUAAAAUUUUCAAGCGUCCAUCAGGGGGUCCACUGCCCCGAAUAAUUUUUUCCAAAUAAUUCGUUUUUCUUCCAUCAAUAUUUUUAUUCUUUAAUUUCCUCGUGUAGCCUCUUAGUUUCACCCUAAUUUCAUUUCCUUUGGGUCACUCACAGUUUCUGAAUAGCUCUCUUAUUUACUUUCGCUUUGCUGAAAUUGGUUUUUCAUUUCACAGUAUUAUUCAUGUACGUAUUUCAGAUUCUAUUUUAAUUUAGGUUGUUGAUAAAGUUUAAAUAUUGUUGAUUUCUACCUUUCCGAGGGUGAUUUGAUCUCGGAUUUUAAGUCACAUGAUAUUCAUCAUGUUUUAUGCAGACUGUGAAUAUAUUGAUGCUAGUAGUGAUGACAAACUACAUAAAUAGGUACCAAGAAAAUGCGUGCUAUUAUAAACCAGUGAUUGUUCUGUGGUAUAGAAUUUGAUUGAAUUUGAUUUCGGUAAGAAUGUUGAGGAAAUUUCAUUUGCUUACGUUCAAACCUUUAUUUCAAAUUAAAAUUUUCAAGCGUCCAUCAGGGGGGUCCACUGCCCCGAAUAAUGUUUUCCAAAUAAUUCGUUUUUCUUCCAUCAAUAUUUUUAUUCUUUAAUUUCCUCGUGUAGCCUCUUAGUUUCACCCUAAUUUCAUUUCCUUUGGGUCACUGAAUAGCUCUCUUAUUUACUUUCGCUUUGCUGAAAUUGGUUUGAUGGUUGGACUCAAUUAAUCGAUGGUUUUCACAGACUGCUUUAGCAUAUAAAAACCAGAAUCGACUCAUCAGUGGAGAUCGGUCUGGCAGCAAAAGGGAGAGUCAAAGGACCAGUGGAGGUCGGUCCCGCAGUAAAAGGGAGAGUCAAAAGACCAGUGGAGGUCGAUCCGGCAGUAAGAGGGGGAGUUCAAGGACCAGUCAAGGCAGCCAUAGUGAAUCCAUUGUCACACUUCGCAGCAGCUCCAGAAGUCGAUCCAAGAGCUCUCUUUAUACAAGUCGAUCUGAGAGCGGCUCUUCUCAUAGAAGUAGAUCUAAGUCGUCCUAUAGAAGUCAAUCAAAUUCUUCCACGAGGUCUAGAGGUUCCUCUAACAGCUCCUGCACUGAUUCCGUCAGCUGUUCCAGUCACUCUAAGAGCAGUCCUUCAAGGAGCCGUUCCCAAAGCUCGUUAAAGGAGCACUUCCAGAAAGAGAGCCGCUACAGAAAGAGUCCACUUGAGACCUGUGCUAAAAGGACCUCGAAGAGCUGCCACAGAAGUAAGAACUUGAAGAGCAAUUCUCCAAAUCCCCGAGAGAGCCACUUCAAACGUUCACAAAAAAGCGGCUCCAAAUCUCCCUUGAAGAGCCGCUCUAGAAGUCCACGGAACAAUGGCUCGAAACCUCACUCAAGGAGUCGCUCCAAAACUCGCUUGGAGAGCCGCUCUAGAAGUCCACGGAACAAUGGCUCAAAACCUCACUCAAGGAGUCGCUCCAAAACUCCCUUAAAAAGCCGCUCUAAAAGUCCACCGAACAGUGGCUCCAAACCUCACUCAAGGAGUCGCUCCAAAACUCCCUUGAAAAGACGUUCUGGAAGUCCACCAAACAAUGGCUCCAAACUUCCCUCGGAGAGCUGUUCCAGAAAUCAAGAAAAAAGCCAAUCACAAAGGUCCUCAAACACUCACUUGAAGAGCCGCUCCAAAGUCCCUCUAAGAGUCCAUCCGGAAGUCCCCUGA
rnacentral:lncRNA from 1 species